rnacentral:rRNA from 1 species
UACGUAGGGGGCAAGCGUUGUCCGGAAUCAUCGGGCGUAAAGAGCGUGUAGGCGGCUCGGUAAGUCCGCUGUGAAAGUCCAGGGCUCAACCCUGGAAUGCCGGUGGAAACUGUCGAGCUCGAGUCCGGAAGAGGCGAGUGGAAUUCCUGGUGUAGCGGUGAAAUGCGCAGAUAUCGGGAAGAACACCCGUGGCGAAGGCGGUUCUCUGGGACGGUACUGACGCUGAGACGCGAAAGCGUGGGGAGCGAACAGG